rnacentral:rRNA from 1 species
CCUACGGGAGGCAGCAGUGGGGAAUUUUGGACAAUGGGCGCAAGCCUGAUCCAGCCAUGCCGCGUGAGUGAAGAAGGCCUUCGGGUUGUAAAGCUCUUUCGGCCGGGACGAAAUCGCAUGCGUGAAUAUCGUGUGUGGAUGACGGUACCGGAAUAAGAAGCACCGGCUAACUACGUGCCAGCAGCCGCGGUAAUACGUAGGGUGCGAGCGUUAAUCGGAAUUACUGGGCGUAAAGCGUGCGCAGGCGGUUUCGUAAGCCAGAUGUGAAAUCCCCGGGCUUAACCUGGGAACUGCAUUUGGGACUGCGAGGCUAGAGUACGGCAGAGGGAGGUGGAAUUCCACGUGUAGCAGUGAAAUGCGUAGAUAUGUGGAGGAACACCGAUGGCGAAGGCAGCCUCCUGGGCUAGUACUGACGCUCAUGCACGAAAGCGUGGGGAGCAAACAGGAUUAGAUACCCUGGUAGUCCACGCCCUAAACGGAUGACAACUAGUUGUUGGGUAUUUAACAUCCUUAGUAACGCAGCUAACGCGUAGAAGUUGCCGCCGUGGGGUAGGUACGGUUCGCGAGAGUUAAACUUAAAGUUAGAGUUAGAGGCGUUGAGACGNGCGACGGACGACGACGAGGGAGGAGG